AUAAACGACUGGCGGCGCACAUAAGACAUGCAAGUCGAACGGAAGUCGUUAUAUUGAUUUGAAGAGAACGGAGAACUGUCAAAGGGACAUGAUGAAGAUUAUAACAAUGGCUUAGUGGCGGACUGGUGAGUAAUACGUAAGCAACCUGCCUAUUAGAGGGGAACAACAGUUAGAAAUGACUGCUAAUACCGCAUAUGCCAUAGUAACCACAUGGUUACAGUGGGAAAGGAGCAAUCCGCUAAUAGAUGGGCUUACGGCUGAUUAGCUAGUUGGUGGGGUAACGGCCUACCAAGGCGACGAUCAGUAGCCGGACUGAGAGGUUCAACGGCCACAUUGGGACUGAGAUACGGCCCAGACUCCUACGGGAGGCAGCAGUCGGGAAUUUUGCGCAAUGGAGGAAACUCUGACGCAGUGACGCCGCGUGCAGGAAGAAGGUUUUCGGAUUGUAAACUGCUUUAGCCAGGGAAGAAAAAGGACAGUACCUGUAGAAUAAGCUCCGGCUAACUACGUGCCAGCCGCCGC
rnacentral:rRNA from 1 species